AUCAUCUGGGAAUUUUGUUAAAAUGCAGCUUCUGAUUUAGUAGGCGUAUAAUGGGACCUGAGAUUCUGCUUUUCUAACAAGCUCCCAGGUGAUGCCCU
rnacentral:pre_miRNA from 1 species